rnacentral:rRNA from 1 species
GAUGAACGCUGGCGGCGUGCCUAAUACAUGCAAGUCGAGCGAACAGAUAAGGAGCUUGCUCCUUUGACGUUAGCGGCGGACGGGUGAGUAACACGUGGGUAACCUACCUAUAAGACUGGGAUAACUUCGGGAAACCGGAGCUAAUACCGGAUAAUAUUUCGAACCGCAUGGUUCGAUAGUGGCAGAUGGUUUUGCUAUCACUUAUAGAUGGACCCGCGCCGUAUUAGCUAGUUGGUAAGGUAACGGCUUACCAAGGCGACGAUACGUAGCCGACCUGAGAGGGUGAUCGGCCACACUGGAACUGAGACACGGUCCAGACUCCUACGGGAGGCAGCAGUAGGGAAUCUUCCGCAAUGGGCGAAAGCCUGACGGAGCAACGCCGCGUGAGUGAUGAAGGUCUUCGGAUCGUAAAACUCUGUUAUUAGGGAAGAACAUACGUGUAAGUAACUGUGCACGUCUUGACGGUACCUAAUCAGAAAGCCACGGCUAACUCCGUG